rnacentral:rRNA from 1 species
GACGAACGCUGGCGGCGUGCUUAACACAUGCAAGUCGAGCGGAAAGGCCCUGCUUUUGUGGGGUGCUCGAGUGGCGAACGGGUGAGAAACACGUGAGUAACCUGCCCUUGACUUUGGGAUAACUUCAGGAAACUGGGGCUAAUACCGGAUAGGAGCUCCUGCUGCAUGGUGGGGGUUGGAAAGUUUCGGCGGUUGGGGAUGGACUCGCGGCUUAUCAGCUUGUUGGUGGGGUAAAGGCCCACCAAGGCGACGAUGCAUAGCCGACCUGAGAGGGUGAUCGGCCACACUGGAACUGAGACACGGCCCAGACUCCUACGGGAGGCAGCAGUAGGGAAUCUUCCGCAAUGGGCGAAAGCCUGACGGAGCAACGCCGCGUGAGUGAAGAAGGACUUCGGUUCGUAAAGCUCUGUUGUUAGGGAAGAAUGGAUAUGUAGUAACUAGACAUGUAAGAGACGGUACCUAACCAGAAAGCCACGGCUAACUACGUG